ACUGAGACACGGCCCAAACUCCUACGGGAGGCAGCAGUAGGGAAUCUUCCACAAUGGGCGAAAGCCUGAUGGAGCAACGCCGCGUGGGUGAAGAAGGUCUUCGGAUCGUAAAACCCUGUUGUUAGAGAAGAAAGUGCGUGAGAGUAACUGUUCACGUUUCGACGGUAUCUAACCAGAAAGCCACGGCUAACUACGUGCCAGCAGCCGCGGUAAUACGUAGGUGGCAAGCGUUAUCCGGAUUUAUUGGGCGUAAAGGGAACGCAGGCGGUCUUUUAAGUCUGAUGUGAAAGCCUUCGGCUUAACCGGAGUAGUGCAUUGGAAACUGGGAGACUUGAGUGCAGAAGAGGAGAGUGGAACUCCAUGUGUAGCGGUGAAAUGCGUAGAUAUAUGGAAGAACACCAGUGGCGAAAGCGGCUCUCUGGUCUGUAACUGACGCUGAGGUUCGAAAGCGUGGGUAGCAAACAGGAUUAGAUACCCUGGUAGUCCACGCCGUAAACGAUGAAUGCUAAGUGUUGGAGGGUUUCCGCCCUUCAGUGCUGCAGCUAACGCAAUAAGCAUUCCGCCUGGGGAGUACGACCGCAAGGUUGAAACUCAAAGGAAUUGACGGGGGCCCGCACAAGCGGUGGAGCAUGUGGUUUAAUUCGAAGCAACGCGAAGAACCUUACCAGGUCUUGACAUCUUCUGACAAUCCUAGAGAUAGGACUUUCCCUUCGGGGACAGAAUGACAGGUGGUGCAUGGUUGUCGUCAGCUCGUGUCGUGAGAUGUUGGGUUAAGUCCCGCAACGAGCGCAACCCUUAUUGUUAGUUGCCAGCAUUAAGUUGGGCACUCUAGCAAGACUGCCGGGGACAA
rnacentral:rRNA from 1 species